GUAUACUUUCCAUAACCAUUUUUCUUUAAAUUUAGAUACAAAAGGCCUUAUCAGUCAUAUGGACAUUAGCAAUAACGAAAAAUGCGACUAGAUUAGCCACAUUUCGAAUUGUAUACCAAUGGAUGGAUCAGCAACUUCGCCUACGGUAAAAGGACCUUUCUUCUGUUGUAAAGCCAAAAACUCUUUGAUUGCAAAAAUGUUUCGCGACAAUUUUUAAAGUUUCGUCUUAGGAACAAAAAUGCUGGUAUUUCCAAUGCUAAAAUCAUUAGAGCAACAGACACAUGACUGCCAGGUACAAGUAAAUAGGCUAGAAUUUCCAAGGCACUUACAUUGUUUGGUAAUAUUUGCGCGAUAAAUAAUUGUCCAUCUCAAACAUAACGAGACUACAACAGAUCAUAAUACAAAACCAUAAUGGAUAUGUGCAAAAAUGGAAGGCUUUUAAUAUAAUUAUAUAUGACAUUGUGUUGUGAAAUAGUCAACUGAGAUCUGCAUAUA
rnacentral:sRNA from 1 species